rnacentral:rRNA from 1 species
GACGAACGCUGGCGGCGUGCUUAACACAUGCAAGUCGAACGGAAAGGCCCUGCUUUUGUGGGGUGCUCGAGUGGCGCACGGGUGAGUAACACGUGUGUAACCUGCCCUUGACUUUGGUAUAACUUCAGGAAACUGGGGCUAAUCCCGGAUAGGCGCUCCUGCUGCAUGGUGGGGGUUGGAAAGUUUCGGCGGUUGGGGAUGGACUCGCGGCGUAUCAGCUUGUUGGUGGGGUAGUGGCUUACCAAGGCCUUGACGGGUAGCCGGCCUGAGAGGGUGACCGGCCACAUUGGGACUGAGAUACGGCCCAGACUCCUACGGGAGGCAGCAGUGGGGAAUAUUGCACAAUGGGCGGAAGCCUGAUGCAGCAACGCCGCGUGCGGGAUGACGGCCUUCGGGUUGUAAACCGCUUUCGCCUGUGACGAAGCGUGAGUGACGGUAAUGGGUAAAGAAGCACCGGCUAACUACGUG